GCAACACUGAUGUAAUGGUAACAUACCUGCUUCCCAAGCAGGAUAUACGGGUUCGAUCCCCGCGUGUUGCUCCA
rnacentral:tRNA from 1 species